AUUGAACGCUGGCGGCAGGCUUAACACAUGCAAGUCGAGCGGGGUGAUGGUGCUUGCACUAUCACUUAGCGGCGGACGGGUGAGUAAUGCUUAGGAAUCUGCCUAUUAGUGGGGGAUAACAUCUCGAAAGGGAUGCUAAUACCGCAUACGUCCUACGGGAGAAAGCAGGGGAUCACUUGUGACCUUGCGCUAAUAGAUGAGCCUAAGUCGGAUUAGCUAGUUGGUGGGGUAAAGGCCUACCAAGGCGACGAUCUGUAGCGGGUCUGAGAGGACGAUCCCCCACACUGGGACUGAGACCCGGCCCAGACUCCUACGGGAGGCAGCAGUGGGGAAUAUUGGACAAUGGGGGGAACCCUGAUCCAGCCAUGCCGCGUGUGUGAAGAAGGCCUUAUGGUUGUAAAGCACUUUAAGCGAGGAGGAGGCUCUUUUGGUUAAUACCCAAGAUGAGUGGACGUUACUCGCAGAAUAAGCACCGGCUAACUCUGUGCCAGCCGCCGCCGUAA
rnacentral:rRNA from 1 species